rnacentral:rRNA from 1 species
AUUGAACGCUGGCGGCAUGCCUCACACAUGCAAGUCGAACGAGUGGCGGACGGGUGAGUAAUGUCUGGGAAACUGCCUGAUGGAGGGGGAUAACUACUGGAAACGGUAGCUAAUACCGCAUACCAUCAGAUAUGCCCAGAUGGGAUUAGCUUGUUGGUGGGGUAACGGCUCACCAAGGCGACGAUCCCUAGCUGGUCUGAGCGGAUGACCAGCAAAACUGGAACUGAGGCACGGGCCAGACUCCUACGCGAGGUAGCAGUGGGGAAUAUUGCACAAUGGGCGCAAGCCGGAUGCAUCCAUGCCGCGUGUAUGAAGAAGGCCUUCGGGUUGUAAAGUACUUUCAGCGGGGAGGCGUUACCCGCAGAAGAAGCACCGGCUAACUCCGUGCCAGCAGCCGCGGUAAUUC